UACGAAGGGGGCUAGCGUUGUUCGGAAUUACUGGGCGUAAAGCGCACGUAGGCGGACAUUUAAGUCAGGGGUGAAAUCCCGGAGCUCAACUCCGGAACUGCCUUUGAUACUGGGUGUCUUGAGUGUGGAAGAGGUGAGUGGAAUUCCGAGUGUAGAGGUGAAAUUCGUAGAUAUUCGGAGGAACACCAGUGGCGAAGGCGGCUCACUGGUCCAUUACUGACGCUGAGGUGCGAAAGCGUGGGGAGCAAACGGG
rnacentral:rRNA from 1 species